rnacentral:rRNA from 1 species
AACGAACGCUGGCGGCAUGCCUAACACAUGCAAGUCGAACGAGACCUUCGGGUCUAGUGGCGCACGGGUGCGUAACGCGUGGGAACCUGCCCUUAGGUUCGGAAUAACUCCCCGAAAGGGGUGCUAAUACCGGAUAAUGUCUUCGGACCAAAGAUUUAUCGCCUUUGGAUGGGCCCGCGUUGGAUUAGCUGGUUGGUAGGGUAAAAGCCUACCAAGGCGACGAUCCAUAGCUGGUCUGAGAGGAUGAUCAGCCACACUGGGACUGAGACACGGCCCAGACUCCUACGGGAGGCAGCAGUGGGGAAUAUUGGACAAUGGGCGAAAGCCCGAUCCAGCAAUGCCGCGUGAGUGAUGAAGGCCUUAGGGUUGUAAAGCUCUUUUACCCGGGAUGAUAAUGACAGUACCGGGAGAAUAAGCUCCGGCUAACUCCGUG